GACGAACGCUGGCGGCGUGCUUAACACAUGCAAGUCGAACGAAGUGGCGAACGGGUGAGUAACGCGUAAUCAACCUGCCCUUCAGAGGGGUACAAAAGUUGGAAACGACUGCUAAUACCGCAUACUGAAGGAGGUGAUUUCGUCGGAUUAGCUAGUUGGAGGGGUAACCGCCCAACAAGGCGAUGGUCAGUAGCCGGGCUGGGAGGAGGAACGGCCACAAUGGGACUGAGACACGGGUCAGACUCCUACGGGAGGCAGCAGUGGGGAAACUUCCGAAAUGGAGGAAAGUCUUACGUGGCAACGGCGCGUGAGUGAUGACGGCCUUCGGGUUGUAAAGCUCUGUUAAGCGGGACGCGGUACCGGAAUAGAAAGCCACGGCUAACUACGUGCCAGCAGCCGCGGUAAUUC
rnacentral:rRNA from 1 species